rnacentral:misc_RNA from 1 species
UCCGCCUUGUUUGCGGCAGUCUCCUUAGAUAUGCAACUAAGGACGGGGGUUGCGCUCGUUGCGGGACUUAACCCAACAUCUCACGACACGAGCUGACGACAGCCAUGCAACAUCUGUUCUCCCGUCCCGAAGGAGGCUUGGGUUUCCCCAAGUUGCGAGAGAAUGUCAAGCCCAGGUAAGGUUCUUCGCGUCGCAUCGAAUUAAACCACACGCUCCGCUGCUUGUGCGGGUCCCCGUCAAUUCCUUUGAGUUUUAGUCUUGCGACCGUACUCCCCAGGCGGACCACUUAAUGCGUUAGCUUCGGCACAGGAGGGGUCAACACCCCCCACACCUAGUGGUCAUCGUUUACUGCUGGGACUAC